rnacentral:rRNA from 1 species
UACGUAGGGGGCAAGCGUUGUCCGGAUUCAUUGGGCGUAAAGAGCGUGUAGGCGGCCAGGUAGGUCGGUUGUGAAAACUGGAGGCUCAACCUUCAGAGGUCGACCGAAACCAUCUGGCUAGAGUCCGGGAGAGGAGAGUGGAAUUCCUGGUGUAGCGGUGAAAUUCGUAGAUAUUCGGAAGAACACCAGUGGCGAAGGCGGCUCACUGGACUGGUAUUGACGCUGAGGUACGAAAGCGUGGGGAGCAAACAGG